rnacentral:rRNA from 1 species
GGAAGGUGGGAUGACGUCAAGUCCUCAUGGCCCUUAUGUCCAGGGCUACACACGUGCUACAAUGGGCAGUACAAAGGGUAGCAAGCCUGCGAAGGUGAGCCAAUCCCAAAAAGCUGUUCGUAGUUCGGAUUGGAGUCUGCAACUCGACUCCAUGAAGCUGGAAUCGCUAGUAAUCGCGGAUCAGCAUGCCGCGGUGAAUACGUUCCCGGGCCUU